rnacentral:rRNA from 1 species
UAGCGUAUAUUAAAGUUGUUGCAGUUAAAAAGCUCGUAGUUGGAUUUCUGGUUCGAGGGCUUGGCCCAUGGCCAAUUUAGGUUCAUGAGUGCCGAUGCUUUCGUACCAUCCUUCCGGUGAUGAUUCAGGUCCCCUUCAUUGGGUCAGCCUGGUUGUUCCGGAUCUUUUACUUUGAAAAAAUUAGAGUGUUUAAAGCAAGCUGUGUGUUGAAUACAUUAGCAUGGAAUAAUAAUCUAGGACUUUGGUUCUAUUUUGUUGGUUUCUAGCGCCAAAGUAAUGAUUGAUAGGGAUAGUUGGGGGUGCUAGUAUUUACCGGCCAGAGGUGAAAUUCUUGGAUUCGGUAAAGACUAACUUAUGCGAAAGCAUUCACCAAGGAUGUCUUCUUUAAUCAAGAACGAAAGUUGGGGGAUCGAAGACGAUCAGAUACCGUCGUAGUCUCAACCAUAAACUAUGCCGACUCAGGAUUGGUCAAAGUUGCAUUUUCGACUUGAUCAGCACUGUAUGAGAAAUCAAAGUCUUUGGGUUCCGGGGGGAGUAUGGCCGCAAGACU